rnacentral:rRNA from 1 species
CAUGAAGCUGGAAUCGCUAGUAAUCGCGAAUCAGCAUGUCGCGGUGAAUACGUUCCCGGGUCUUGUACACACCGCCCGUCACACCAUGGGAGUUGGAAAUGCCCGAAGUCAGUGACCCAACCGAAAGGAGGGAGCUGCCGAAGGCAGGUUCGAUAACUGGGGUGAAGUCGUAACAAGGUAUC